rnacentral:rRNA from 1 species
AGUGAAUAGAUACCCGGGUAGUCCUAGCCGUAAACGAUACUCGCUAGGUGUCGGCCACGGUGCGACCGUUGUCGGUGCCGUAGGGAAAGCCGUGAAGCGAGCCACCUGGGAAGUACGGCCGCAAGGCUGAAACUUAAAGGAAUUGGCGGGGGAGCACCACAACGGGUGGAGCUUGCGGUUUAAAUUGGAUUCAACGCCGGAAAUCUUACCGGGACCGACAGCAACAUGAAGGCCAGGCUGAAGACUUUGCCGGAUUAGCUGAGAGGUGGUGCAUGGCCGUCGUCAGUUCGUACUGUGAAGCAUCCUGUUAAGUCAGGCAACGAGCGAGACCCACGCCCACAGUUGCCAGCGUACUCUCCGGAGUGACGGGUACACUGUGGGGACCGCCGCUGCUAAAGCGGAGGAAGGAAUGGGCAACGGUAGGUCAGUAUGCCCCGAAUAUCCCGGGCUACACGCGAGCUACAAUGGUUGGUACAAUGGGUAUCUACCCCGAAAGGGGAUGGAAAUCUCCUAAAGCCAAUCUUAGUUCGGAUUGAGGGCUGCAACUCGCCCUC